CAGUAGUCACGAGUUGAUCAUGGCUACAGAACGAACGCUGGCGGCAGGCUUAACACAUGCAAGUCGAGCGCCCCGCAAGGGGAGCGGCAGACGGGUGAGUAACGCGUGGGAACAUACCCUUUGGUUCGGAAUAACUCAGGGAAACUUGAGCUAAUACCGGAUACGUCCGUAAGGAGAAAGAUUUAUCGCCAAAGGAUUGGCCCGCGUCCGAUUAGCUAGUUGGUGAGGUAACGGCUCACCAAGGCUACGAUCGGUAGCUGGUCUGAGAGGAUGAUCAGCCACAUUGGGACUGAGACACGGCCCAAACUCCUACGGGAGGCAGCAGUGGGGAAUAUUGGACAAUGGGCGCAAGCCUGAUCCAGCCAUGCCGCGUGAGUGAUGAAGGCCUUAGGGUUGUAAAGCUCUUUUGUCCGGGAAGAUAAUGACUGUACCGGAAGAAUAAGCCCCGGCUAACUUCGUG
rnacentral:rRNA from 1 species